CAAGCCCAAUUAUGUCUUACUAUGAAGCUCCUGAGGCCUCAAAAUCCUCCAAGCCAUCACAGAAGUGGGAUGUUUAUUCAUACGGGGUAAUUUUACUGGAGAUGAUUUCUGGGAAGUCACCAGUUACGCAGACAGGUUCAUCAGAAAUGGGUCUUGUUCAAUGGAUUCAGCUUAGCACAGAAAUCAAGCCACUCUCUCAUGUGUUAGAUCCUUUCUUGGUUCAUGAUUUGGAGAAGAGAGAUGAGAUGAUUGCAGUACUUGACAUCGCUCUAGCCUGCGUUCACAUCAGCCCUGAUAAGAGACCUUUAAUGAGGA
rnacentral:misc_RNA from 1 species